GUUUAGAGUUGCCACCUGGCUGGUCAAAAUGAUGCUUGAUGCCAUUGUUAUUAAUAGGAAAAAAAGGGCAAGAAUAUAGGAAGGCCGGUAUUUUUUUCCAGAUCAGGUAGCAACACUUGUAAUGUUCUCCUAUCUUGAUUGAUAGGGGAACUACGAGAAGAACGUUUUUUUGGAUGGAUUUUCCUUAUAAAACAAAUGGGGGGCAGUUUAAUGUCAUUUGUACAGCAGUUCCCACAUCCCAUACAGGAACCAAUCCAAGCAGGAAUAAUCAGCCUAUCACGGCCCAGCUUUUCAUGCACUACAAUACUAAGGAUCCCACCUGGCUGUCAGGCAUAAGGGAAGGAAAACUCUGGUGCAACAAAGCUGGAGGGCUCCAGAAUACAGCAGGAAUACACAGGCCUCACAUAAUACAGAGGACUGUUCCUUUUAUGUGACCCAGUGUCAACAACAGUAAAAUCCAAGCUGCAGCCUUCCUGAGUGCAGCCGCCUGUGAAAUAAGCAUCUGAAAACGAGUGAUCACUACACUGUUGUAGUGACAGAACUGUAACUCCCAGGAGGACUCGUGGCUUUUAAUACUCUCCAGACAUCACCUGCUCAGUGUCUUUUCGCAGCUUCGCAGUUCGGGACUUCGACUAUUCGGGACUUCGGCGGUUCAGGACUUCAGAAGAGGAGGCAUGGCUUUGGCGCUGUCAAGGGGGCUAUUUCGAAAAGUGCAGCACAGCUGGGCCCCCUUUUAGGCCCGGGCCCGGUACAGUACCCCCUGUGCCCCCCUGAUGGCGUCCCUGAGGAGAGGUUUAAUGGGGCCAGUGAUCCCCAUUUGGAAGCUGGAAAGAGUCAGAAGAAGAAGGAAAAUAAUUCAAAAACUAUACAUUGCUUAGAAUUAGACAUUCUAUAACAUGUUAAAAGUUAAAGGAAAACUAUACCC